CAUAGUCUAAAGUAUAUGUAAGAUAAAUUCUGCCCUAUGAUUUAAAUGGCCGCAGUACUUUGACUGUGCAAAGGUAGCAAAAUCAAUUGGCCUUUAAUUGGGGUCGGGUAUGAAAGAGUAACUGGAAAACUGUCUCAAAAUAAUUUUAGAAAUUUAAUUAAAAGGUGAAAAUGCCUUUACGUUAUAAAAGACGAGAAGACCCUUAGAAUUUAAAAAUUUUUGUUGGGGCGACAAUGUAACAUUAAACCUACAAAUUUAAAAUACUUGACGAGGGUGAUAAAAUUACCUAAGGGAUAACAGCAUAAUUUUAAGAUUGUGACCUCGAUGUUGGAUUAGGUAAUAAAGGUUAACAAUUUUUAUGUUCUGUUCGAACCCUACGUGAUCU
rnacentral:rRNA from 1 species